rnacentral:ncRNA from 2 species
UAUACAAGGGCAAGCUCU